AGUUGCAAGGUAUAGACCCGAAACCCGGUGAUCUAGCCAUGGGCAGGUUGAAGGUUGGGUAACACUAACUGGAGGACCGAACCGACUAAUGUUGAAAAAUUAGCGGAUGACUUGUGGCUGGGGGUGAAAGGCCAAUCAAACCGGGAGAUAGCUGGUUCUCCCCGAAAUCUAUUUAGGUAGAGCCUUGAGGUGACACCUUUGGGGGUAGAGCACUGUUUCGGCUAGGGGUCCAUCCCGGAUUACCAACCCGAUGCAAACUACGAAUACCAAAGAGUGAUACUCAGGAGACACACGGCGGGUGCUAACGUCCGUCGUGGAGAGGGAAACAACCCAGACCGCCAGCUAAGGUCCCCAAGUCUAUAUUAAGUGGGAAACGAAGUGGGAAGGCUUAGACAGCUAGGAUGUUGGCUUAGAAGCAGCCAUCAUUUAAAGAAAGCGUAAUAGCUCACUAGUCGAGUCGGCCUGCGCGGAAGAUGUAACGGGGCUGAAAUAUAGCACCGAAGCUGCGGCAUCAGGCGUAUCACUAAUACGCCUUACGAUUAACAAGCUAGAAUGGCGCGAAGCGACAUGAAAGGUUGUUCAAGCAACCCGAACGUUGAGUCGGGCAUCUUAGAGUGAGGAUUAUUAGUGAUACGCCUGUUGGGUAGGGGAGCGUUGUGUAAGCGGAAGAAGGUUCAUCGAGAGGUGGGCUGGACGUAUCACAAGUGCGAAUGCUGACAUAAGUAACGAUAAAACGGGUGAAAAACCCGUUCGCCGGAAGACCAAGGGUUCCUGUCCAACGUUAAUCGGGGCAGGGUGAGUCGGCUCCUAAGGCGAGGCUGAAAAGCGUAGUCGAUGGGAAACAGGUUAAUAUUCCUGUACUUGGUAAAGCUGCGAUGUGGGGACGGAGUAGGUUAGGUUAUCGCACUGUUGGAUAUGUGCGUUUAAGUUGGUAGGUGGGAAGUUUAGGCAAAUCCGGACUUCCUUAACACAGAGAGAUGAUGACGAGGCUCUACGGAGCUGAAGUAACUGAUACCACACUUCCAGGAAAAGCCACUAAGCGAAAGGCUUUACUAAACCGUACUGAAAACCGACACAGGUGGUCAGGUAGAGAAUACUCAGGCGCUUGAGAGAACUCGGGUGAAGGAACUAGGCAAAAUAGCACCGUAACUUCGGGAGAAGGUGCGCCGGCGUAGAUUGUA
rnacentral:rRNA from 1 species